AGAACGAACGCUGGCGGCAUGCCUAAUACAUGCAAGUCGAACGAACUCUUCGGAGUUAGUGGCGCGCGGGUGCGUAACGCGUGGGAAUCUGCCCCUUGGUUCGGAAUAACAGUUGGAAACGACUGCUAAUACCGGAUGAUGACGAAAGCCCAAAGAUUUAUCGCCAAGGGAUGAGCCCGCGUAGGAUUAGCUAGUUGGUGAGGUAAAGGCUCACCAAGGCCUACGAUCC
rnacentral:rRNA from 1 species